GUAUCAUCAUUGCAGCGCGUGCGUCUAGAAACGUUAGAAACAAUAAUAUUGGUCUGAGUAAGUAAAAUAAUAUUACCUAUAAUAUACUGUCGACUAAUAAUUAUAUUAAGCGAUGAAAAAAUAACUCUUGAUUUUACUAUGUUUUUCAUCGUUCAGUUCGAGAGUAUUACCUAUAAAAUAAAGCAUUUUAUUCGAGUUGUCCACUAAAAUAUUGUAAGCCGGUGAAAACCGUGUAGUGCCGAGUGUGUUGGUUAUAAGGGCGGUGGGAGAUGGUGCGGGUCGGACGGUGUGCUCUGUACCAUCGAUAUACAUUUCAUAACAAUAUAAGAACCGGUGUGUUGAGGUCGCCGCGUGUAGUUCGCAAUCAUCAUUUGUUGAGCGCACAUUCGGCCUAGGCGCGGGUUUAUUUGUUUGAUUUUACACACGUACAGUAAAUAAAUCGACUGAGAUGUUGGACGAGAGGAGUAGCUUGACAAAAACAAUCGGCAAGACCAAGGGAGUGUUUCGAAACACUAAGUACGGGUCGACUAAUGACCAGAAACAAGUUAACGUCAUCGACACCAAACAAAAAUACCGAAAAUUAAAUGAAGAUGAUAUGUAUUAUAAUUAUGAGGCGGAUUUGAUGUUAGACUCAGUAAACCGUAGGUACAAGAAAGUCGUGUUCACAACAUAUGCCAUGGGUAUGGCCAUGACCAUUAUUGGAUGUUUAUUGGUGCUUUGAGUAUGAUCUAAAAUUCAAAUAGAACUGUAUACGAACAAUCACAGACUAAAGCACGAUGUCAUUUAAGAAAAAUGUGGACAUUUUUUUUUGUUAUUAUUAUUUAGCAAUGUAGCAUACCUAUUAUAAUAUAUUAUACCUAAUGUGAUAAUGUGUUUUAUGUAUAUAGGGUAAAACGAACCAAACAAGGUAUGUUCGUGAUAUAUUUACAAAAUAUCUCAUUACGUUUUCAAUUUUGGCAAUUUUAUUAGGCCAACAUAUAUUUACGCAACUUGACGAAUAUACGUCAGUCUCUAGUAAUACCACAGCUAAAAUUAGACAGAUUAAUUAUUUUGAGGUUCACUGACGAAUAUCUAAACAGAUAGGUUCGUUAUUAAAGUAUAAAUAAUUAUAUUUAAUAAAAUAAUCUAUAUACGUAUUACGAUUACUCAUAUCACGAAUAUACCUCACUUUAACCAACCAUCAUAAUUAAAUAUUUUAAAUUAUUUUAUACCUAAAUUUUACCUAUCUAAGUUUGCCAAAAAAAUAUAUUGUGAUUAAAAUGUUUUUCUAAACGUGUUUCCUAUAAUGAUUUGUAUCUUUUGUGCCAUAUUGUUUUUAAGUUAUAAACUUUUGUUUAGUUUAUUAGAUUAAAUUUGGUAAAUUAUUAUACAUUUUUAUAAUAAAUUGUAUUUAUUUUAUUCAUAAA